rnacentral:lncRNA from 1 species
AUUUAGUUGUAGUUGGACACAAUACUUUUAUUUCAUUUAUUUUUAUGUGGUGCUGAGUAUCGAACCCAGGGCCUCGCACAUGCUAGGCAAACGCUCUACUGCUGAGCCACAACCCCAGCCCUGGAUGACUGUAGUUUUUAAAUUCCAUUUUUUUCUCUACUAAUUUGGCUGCCAAUUUCCUUGGUCUUAGGGCUCAUCUUAUCUAGAAACUUGAAUACACAUAUAUCACUUGAAAACCACAGUUAACCAUGAACUUUAGCCUCCUACAUGAACUGCAGUUCCUGUCUACUUCACCUCCAGUCAUAUAAAAGUGCAGCACAUACAGCAUGAACAGUAGAGGGUACUUGAUAAUGAUAGGAGACAACUGCUACUGGUUUAUGUGUUUUCUAUACUUUAUUGUUAUUCUAAAAUGUACUCCUCCUAUUCAUGAAAGAAAAGUUUAGGAAUGGGGAUGUAGCUCAAUGGUAGAGAGUCUACUAAGGCCCUGGCUUCCUUUCCCAAUGCUAAAAGACAAACAAAACAUCAACAAAAAAGAAUUGUCAGGUAGUAUGCUGUGUUAUGCCAGCAGCAGCCUCCUCCAUCUACAUUUACCCUGUCCUUCGAUUGAACCAAGAAUGAUGACC